ensembl:lncRNA
AAUGUUUGACAUAUUUUGGCAAUAAAUGUUUCCUUAUUCCUGAUUCCUGAUUGAGACUGGUUCAUAGAGCGUCAGGAAAACACAGAGACUACAAAAUUGAUAUUAUACAAAUAAUAUUUAUUAUUUUUAUCAUUAUUAGUAAUAUUAUUGGUAAAAUACGUGAAUUAAAUGCUCACGUGUGCCCUUUAAAUGUUCGUGCUCUCAGAUUCUUGUAAUAUAAAUGUGUUAUUAAAACUGAGGGUUGUUAACAUUUAAUUAAUGACUAUAAAUGAAUUAUCCGAUAAUACUCAUACAUAGAGGUGGCUGAUCCCCCACAUAAAUACGUGAUAAAAUAUUUGAUCUUUGAUUUUUUGUUGUCGUCGUUGUGUGUUUUUCUCCUGCUCCAUUGUCUCGUCGCGCACCGGCGACUCCUUAACUGCCCUUUGUGUGCGUGUCUGUGCGCGUCACCGUGUGCGCGCACGACGACGUCAGGAGUGUUUUUGCUUCGCUCUCUCCGGCAUUCCUACGGUCCAUGAACGCAGCAGCGGCGGCCCAGCGUCCAGUAGAAGGAGGUCUCCGGUUUUAUCUAACCCGGCCGAGCACGCACAAACAUGGCGAUGAUGCAGCGCGCUCUCCCCCGGUCGCUGUGCGUGUGGCUCCUCUGGCUCGCCGGGAUUCACGCGUCUUCUAACCUCCACCUGCACGCCGAGCGGCCGCACGGAGGCUUCUUCACCAUAGAAGCGAUGAGGAGUUUACAGGACGGAGGAGCUGUGUGGAGGUGGUGGUGGCGGAGGCGGAGGCGGAGGCGCCCGCCGCCGCCGAAGCGGCUUCGCUGCCGCCUCCGGCCGCUCCGAGAGCCGCUGCAGGCGGGCCGGACUCCGGCGCUUAUCCGCAACAUCGAAGCCGCCGGAGCCCCGGAGAGUCGGCCAUGCCGAAGGUGUACGGGCAGGUACGUGCAGCGCCGCUUUCUCGCGGAAGGAAAUGUGCAAACUGUGUGCAUCACCUCGGGCAGCCUCGGCUGCGGAAGGACGCGGUCAAGCGAAGAGUACACGGCGCGACCCUCCGGUGUUUGCGGUGUGCGUCGCAUCUUGCAGAACCCGGGACGUCUCCGUGGGGCUUUCGUUGCAACGUGACGACACACCAGACAUGCACCGGAAUAUGUGUCCAUUGUGGAGCGAGUCAACGGCGGCCCGCUGUGGCAGUGACCGGCAGUGACUCAUCUCAGACGGGAUAACGGGGGAUUUAUUCCCGUAGCACGGAGAUUAAAUUAAUGCCGAAGUCACCGGAACUCCCGUGAGAUGUGACAACGGGGUUUGUUUUUGUAUCUCGGACGGCCCGUCUGCCGUUAAACACGGAAACCAACACAAACCCGCUUUUCGGAAGGGUUGUUCUGAAUGGAAGAUGACGAGCACAGAAAUGUGCGGCGAGAAACAAACGCUCCAAGUUUUCCUUUUCCGACAGCGUGUUGAAAGUUGACAUGACACACGUUUAACGUUAACUUUGUUCACAAUCUGUGGCUUCACCUCAAGUUGCUCUCAGCCGAACUUAACUGGAAACGAGGCUUAUGCCGGUUGUGGACAGAAGGUCUCACACACCUGGUCUCAUCUCCAGUUUAAUCAAAUAUAAUAAGUGUUUGUAAACAGGCUGCGUGACGCACGCUGUUUGCUUCUGUGUGUGUGUUGACCUACACAGGUGGAGGAGGGUGGUGCUGUCUUUCGUUACCAACACUUCAUCCCGUAGUCCGACUGGUGUCGUUGUCUUUGGGACAAUGUGUCCUCAUGUUUCACUCGAGGUGGUGUCGUUGUCUUUGGGACAACGUGUCCUCAUGUUUAACUCCAGGUGGUGUUGUCUUUGGGACAACGUGUCCUCAUGUUUGACUCGAGGUGGUGUCGUUGUCUUUGGGACAACGUGCCCUCAUGUUUGACCCGAG